rnacentral:tmRNA from 1 species
AGACUGGUCCUGAAACGUGUUCUCCGCGUAGGGAUGAGAUUUUUGAGAACUGGUUAGAAGACAGGCAUUGUUUGCCGGCCAGGCUUCUAAUGAGACUUUAACUGCAAACUAAACAUGUAGACAUUGGCAGGGUACCGGUUCUGGACGCGGGUUCGAUUCCCGCCGCCUCCACCA